rnacentral:rRNA from 1 species
AUUGAACGCUGGCGGCAGGCCUAACACAUGCAAGUCGAACGAGUGGCGGACGGGUGAGAAAUGUCUGGGAAACUGCCCGAUGGAGGGGGAUAACUACUGGAAACGGUAGAUAAUAAAGCAUACCAUCGGAUGUGCCCAGAUGGGGUUGGCUGGGAGUUGUGGUAACGGCUCACCUAGGCGACGAUCCCUAGCUGGUCUGAGAGGAUGACCAGCCACACUGGAACUGAGAAACGGUCCAGACUCCUACGGGAGGCAGCAGUGGGGAAUAUUGCACAAUGGGCGCAAGCCUGAGGCAGCCAUGACGAGUGUAUGAAGAAGGCCUUCGGGUUGUAAAGUACUUUCAGCGGGGAGGCGUUACCCGCAGAAGAAGCACCGGCUAACUCCGUGCCAGCCGCCGCGGUAAUAC